GGAAAUGUAGCUCAGAGGUAGAGCACUUACCUAGUAUGCAUGAAUCCCUGGGUACAAUCCCCAGGAACUCUC
rnacentral:tRNA from 1 species